GACGAACGCUGGCGGCGUGCCUAAUACAUGCAAGUCGAGCGGGCCUCCGGAGGUGCUUGCACCUCCGGACGGCCAGCGGCGGACGGGUGAGUAACACGUGGGCAACCUGCCUUUGAGGCCGGGAUAACACCGGGAAACCGGUGCUAAUACCGGAUACGUCCUCUUUCGCGCCUGCGAGAGGGGAGAAAGACGGUCUUUAAGGCCGUCGCUCAAAGAGGGGCCCGCGGCGCAUUAGCUGGUUGGUGGGGCAAGGGCCUACCAAGGCGACGAUGCGUUGCCGACCUGAGAGGGUGAUCGGCCACACUGGGACUGAGACACGGCCCAGACUCCUGCGGGAGGCAGCAGUAGGGAAUCUUCCGCAAUGGACGAAAGUCUGACGGAGCAACGCCGCGUGAGUGAAGAAGGUUUUCGGAUCGUAAAACUCUGUUGUUAGGGAAGAACAAGUAUCGGAGUAACUGCCGGUACCUUGACGGUACCUGACCAGAAAGCCACGGCUAACUACGUGCCAGCCGCCGCCGUAACAC
rnacentral:rRNA from 1 species